GAUGAACGCUGGCGGCGUGCCUAAUACAUGCAAGUCGAACGCAUAGCGAAAGGUGCUUGCACCUUUCAAGUGAGUGGCGAACGGGUGAGCAACACGUGGACAACCUGCCUCAAGGCUGGGGAUAACAUUUGGAAACAGAUGCUAAUACCGAAUAAAACUUAGUGUCGCAUGACACAAAGUUAAAAGGCGCUUCGGCGUCACCUAGAGAUGGAUCCGCGGUGCAUUAGUUAGUUGGUGGGGUAAAGGCCUACCAAGACAAUGAUGCAUAGCCGAGUUGAGAGACUGAUCGGCCACAUUAGGACUGGGACACGGCCCAAACUCCUACGGGAGGCUGCAGUAGGGAAUCUUCCACAAUGGGCGAAAGCCUGAUGGAGCAACGCCGCGUGUGUGAUGAAGGCGUUCGGGUCGUAAAGCACUGUUGUAUGGGAAGAACAGCUAGAAUAGGAAAUGAUUUUAGUUUGACGGUACCAUACCAGAAAGGGACGGCUAAAUACGUG
rnacentral:rRNA from 1 species